rnacentral:rRNA from 1 species
AUUGAACGCUGGCGGCAGGCCUAACACAUGCAAGUCGAACGGUAACAGGAAGCAGCUUGCUGCUUCGCUGACGAGUGGCGGACGGGUGAGUAAUGUCUGGGAAACUGCCUGAUGGAGGGGGAUAACUACUGGAAACGGUAGCUAUACCGCAUAACGUCGCAAGACCAAAGAGGGGGACCUUCGGUCCUCUUGCCAUCGGAUGUGCCCAGAUGGGAUUAGCUAGUAGGUGGGGUAACGGCUCACCUAGGCGACGAUCCCUAGAUGGUCUGAGAGGAUGACCAGCCACACUGGAACUGAGACACGGUCCAGACUCCUACGGGAGGCAGAAGUGGGGAAUAUUGCACAAUGGGCGCAAGCCUGAUGCAGCCAUGCCGCGUGUAUGAAGAAGGCCUUCGGGUUGUAAAGUACUUUCAGCGGGGAGGAAGGCGAUAAGGUUAAUAACCUUGUCGAUUGACGUUACCCGCAGAAGAAGCACCGGCUAACUCCGUGCCAGCCGCCGCAGUAA